GAUGAACGCUGGCGGCGUGCCUAAUACAUGCAAGUCGAGCGAACGGACGAGAAGCUUGCUUCUCUGAUGUUAGCGGCGGACGGGUGAGUAACACGUGGAUAACCUACCUAUAAGACUGGGAUAACUUCGGGAAGCCGGAGCUAAUACCGGAUGAUAUUUUGAACCGCAUGGUUCAAAAGUGAAAGACGGUCUUGCUGUCACUUAUAGAUGGAUCCGCGCUGUAUUAGCUAGUUGGUAAGGUAACGGCUUACCAAGGCAACGAUGCAUAGCCGACCUGAGAGGGUGAUCGGCCACACUGGAACUGAGACACGGUCCAGACUCCUACGGGAGGCAGCAGUAGGGAAUCUUCCGCAAUGGGCGAAAGCCUGACGGAGCAACGCCGCGUGAGUGAUGAAGGUCUUCGGAUCGUAAAACUCUGUUAUUAGGGAAGAACAUAUGUGUAAGUAACUGUGCACAUCUUGACGGUACCUAAUCAGAAAGCCACGGCUAACUACGUG
rnacentral:rRNA from 1 species